rnacentral:rRNA from 1 species
GAUGAACGCUGGCGGCGUGCCUAACACAUGCAAGUCGAGCGAACCCUUCGGGGUGAGCGGCGGACGGGUGAGUAACGCGUGGGUAACCUGCCCUGUACACACGGAUAACAUACCGAAAGGUAUGCUAAUACGAGAUAUUAUAUUUUAAUCGCAUGGUUAAGAUAUCAAAGCUCCGGCGGUACAGGAUGGACCCGCGUCUGAUUAGCUAGUUGGUGAGGUAAUGGCUCACCAAGGCGACGAUCAGUAGCCGACCCGAGAGGGUGAUCGGCCACACUGGAACUGAGACACGGUCCAGACUCCUACGGGAGGCAGCAGUGGGGAAUAUUGCACAAUGGGCGAAAGCCUGAUGCAGCAACGCCGCGUGAGCGAUGAAGGCCUUCGGGUCGUAAAGCUCUGUCCUCAAGGAAGAUAAUGACGGUACUUGAGGAGGAAGCCCCGGCUAACUACGUGCCAGCCGCCGCGGUAA